CCUACGGGAGGCAGCAGUGGGGAAUAUUGCACAAUGGGGGAAACCCUGAUGCAGCGACGCCGCGUGAGGGAAGAAGUAAUUCGUUACGUAAAGCUCUAUCAGCAGGGAAGAAAAUGACGGUACCUGAGUGAGAAGCCUCCGCUAACUACGUUCCCGCAGCCGCGGGAAUACGUAGGGGACAAGCGUUAUCCGGGUUUACCGGGGGGAAAGGGGGCGGAGGCGGGGCGCGAAGUCUGGAGUGAAAUGCCACAGGGUAACUGCGGAACUGCAUUGGAAACUGGCAAACUAGAGUGAGGGAGGGGCAAGCGGAAUUCCUAGUGUAGCGGUGAAAUGCGUAGAUAUUAGGAGGAACACCAGUGGCGAAGGCGGCUUACUGGGCCGUAACUGACGUUGAGGCUCGAAAGCGUGGGGAGCAAACAGGAUUAGAUACCCCAGUAGUC
rnacentral:rRNA from 1 species